AUUGAACGCUGGCGGCAUGCUUUACACAUGCAAGUCGAACGGCAGCGCGGGCUUCGGCCUGGCGGCGAGUGGCGAACGGGUGAGUAAUACAUCGGAACGUGCCCAGUAGUGGGGGAUAGCUCGGCGAAAGCCGGAUUAAUACCGCAUACGACCUGAGGGUGAAAGCGGGGGAUCUUCGGACCUCGCGCUAUUGGAGCGGCCGAUGGCAGAUUAGCUAGUUGGUGGGGUAAAGGCCUACCAAGGCGACGAUCUGUAGCUGGUCUGAGAGGACGACCAGCCACACUGGGACUGAGACACGGCCCAGACUCCUACGGGAGGCAGCAGUGGGGAAUUUUGGACAAUGGGCGAAAGCCUGAUCCAGCAAUGCCGCGUGUGUGAUGAAGGCCUUCGGGCUGUAAAGCACAUUUGGCGGGAACGAAAAGGACUGUGCCAAUACCACGGUUCGAUGACGGUACCCGCAGAAUAAGCACCGGCUAACUACGUG
rnacentral:rRNA from 1 species